GAUGAACGCUGGCGGCGUGCUUAAUACAUGCAAGUCGAGCGAACAGAUGAGGAGUUUGCUCCUCUGACGUUAGCGGCGGACGGGUGAGUAACACGUGGAUAACCUACCUAUAAGACUGGGAUAACUUCGGGAAACCGGAGCUAAUACCGGAUAAUAUAUUGAACCGCAUGGUUCAAUAGUGAAAGACGGUUUUGCUGUCACUUAUAGAUGGAUCCGCGCCGCAUUAGCUAGUUGGUAAGGUAACGGCUUACCAAGGCAACGAUGCGUAGACGACCUGAGAGGGGGGUCGGCCCCACUGGAACUGAACCACGGACCAGACUACUACGGGAGGGAGCAGUAGGGUAUGUUCCGCAGUGGGCGAGAGCCUGACGGAGCAACGCCAAGUGAGUGAUGAAGGUCUUGGGAUCGGGAAACUCUGUUACUAGGGAAGAACAAAUGUGUGAGUAACUGUGGCGGUCUUGACGGUACCUAAUCAGAAAGCCCCGGCUAACUACGUG
rnacentral:rRNA from 1 species